GUCGUAGUGAGUAUAUGAGAAUUGUUGGUUGUUGUAAUGGUCUUAUUUGCUUGUCUGAUGAUUAUGAUAAGUUUACGGAUACUGUGGUUUUAUGGAACCCUAUAAUUCGUAAACAUGUGGGUUUGCCGAAUCCUAGUUUGGGGUAUAAUGGACGUGGCUCUUGUAUUUAUGGGUUUGGCUUUGAUGGUGUGAAGCAUGAUUAUAAAGUUGUUAGGGUUGUUUAUAAUAGUACUGCUACUGAGGAUUAUAAAUUGCAGAUUCCACCGACGAUUGAGUUUCUUGAUAAAUUGAGGGCUGUUAAAUUCUUGGUUCCACCUGGGGUUGAGGUUUACUCUUUGAGUAGUGGGGUUUGGAGGACUAUUUCUGAUGCGUGCCCUUCUUAUAUUUUGCAUCAAAAUCAUUCUGUUUCGACUUUUCUUAAUGGGGCUGUUCAUUGGAUUGCAUCUCAUUCAAGCGAUGAUGAUGAUAAUGGGAAUAGCA
rnacentral:misc_RNA from 1 species